GUGAUCAUUAACCUUUCUGGAAAAAGCAGCUGGCCGUUGUCUGAGGCUCGUCAGUAGAAUGUGAGGGGAGCCUCACAGAUACCGCACAGACUAUUCAAGACUGGUUUACAUUGAGAGCUGUUGCUCUACUUCAGGGGGGGCAGGAAAAUGAGGUUGCAACAAUUUCUUUUUGCCUUUCUGCUUUUCGUGAUGAGUCUUCUUCUUAUCAACGGACAGAGACCAGCUAAUUUGGCUGUGAGAAGAAAAUUGCACAGACACAACUGCCUUCAGAGGAGAUGUGUGCCUCUCCAUUCACGGGUGCCCUUCCCCUGAGUGUGGACCUUCUCUAGAUAAUCGUACCUGGUCUACCAGAAGAGGAAUGAA